UACGAAGGAUCCAAGCGUUAUCCGGAUUUAUUGGGUUUAAAGGGUGCGUAGGCGGUUUUGUAAGUCAGCGGUGAAAUCUUCGGGCUUAACCCGGAAAUUGCCAUUGAUACUGCAGAACUUGAGUACAUUUGAAGUGGGCGGAAUAUGACAUGUAGUGGUGAAAUACUUAGAUAUGUCAUAGAACACCGAUUGCGAAGGCAGCUCACUAAACUGUAACUGACGCUGAGGCACGAAAGCGUGGGGAUCAAACAGG
rnacentral:rRNA from 1 species